UGUACGCUUUCUACUACGGUUUUCUAUAAUUUUUUUGAUAUCAAUACUAAGAUUGUAAUAGAAUGCUAAGAAUAAAUAGCGAUUCGUUCGUUCAGUUUUGAAGUAUUACCAACCCUACUUUCUGCAUAUUAAACGAACCCUUCGACUGCAAAUGAGUCAGAAUUCGGCAAGAUGGAGCCUUUCGCUUGGUUUUUACGAAGUACAUUCAGCACGUGUAUAAAAAGUGCCAAGCUAAUUUCAUAAAAUGUUAGUAUAACGUGGAAAAUAGUAUUUAAAAAUAUGUAUUGUAUGCCGAAGUUAGGUUUAUGAAAAUUCCCCUGUUGGUGUUUGCGCAUUGCUAGGAAGAAAGAAAAGAGAAAUACAAGUUUUAUGGAAGAACAGUAAUGCCGAAAUGGUUGUCGAUGUCGGGAAUUGUACGGUCGAUGCCUCGUCAAUUGUAACAUAUGUGUUGGAAUCUAUAAUCCGGUCCAGGAAAAGUUAGCUCAAGUACCGAAACCAAAUUUUUGCAACAAGUGCAGUAUACGUAAAUUUCACAAAAAAAAAAUUGUGAGCUCUAUAGAGUAAUUUAUACGGAUUUAAACAAAAUUUUUCGGGAAUGUUUGCUUAAUUGUACAACGAUUUUAUGGUGGCGCCGCAAGGGAGAGGGUGUGGCCCCCAAACCCCCCUUAAACGAAAGAGGAUGUACGCAGCUUUAUGAAAAGUAACUCGUCUCCCCUCGACACCUCGGAAUAUGCAAAAAAAUACCAUAUAUCCAACCAACAUUAUUAGUAACUUGGUGCACAGAUAUAGUAAAUUUUAUUUUGGAAUAAAGCAUGAUCUGUUGUCAACAAGUGUGCAAAGUUUUUUGAUUCGAAUUACGCGUUUUGGCGCAGAACCCCAAAAUCGUUGUACAAAUACGCAAACAGUACCCCUUUUUUUUUGUUUCCACAAAAGAAGUAAGGGGGAAAUCUUUAGUAGCGCUCACAUCGUUUUUAGGGUGGGGGCGGAGGGAGGAGCUGGCGGAGACCCCCAAACCCUCCCCACUAGAAAGGGGACAGUCCCCGCUUUCUAAAAAGGCGUAUUCCCCCCUUGUGCUCCUUCCGCAGUCCCCUAGGGAACCGUUUGAAAAAGGGAA